AAUUCAAGACUAACAAAACGAAAUUACAAGAGAAAGAAAGAAGAGAAGAGAAGAGAAAUUAAGGUAGAAAGAAGGAAAGAGCUACGAUUUUGGGAGGAGAAAAAGGUAAGUUCUCCGAUUCCGUUCCAAGAAUUAAUUAUAUGAGCUAUACCAUGAUGUUAUGAAGAUGUUAGUAAUGAAAUUUUAUGGUUUGAGGCAGCCCAAAACAUUACCAAACAGUCCAUAAGUUUCAGCUGCGCUAAAGGAAAUUCCGAGGCAAGUUUUGGCGAGUUUUGGUGAAUUUCGGGAAAGGUUCAAGAGACGACGAGGCGAGCAUAGUUAAGAGUAAUCCGUAAGAGGUACAGACGAUUGGUUUGCUGAUCCGCUCGCUUAGGACAUCCACCAUGUUGGUCGACAGUGCUCCUUUGUCCGGAGCCCUAUUUUGGUACUGACACUUUCUGUUGUAUAUAUAUAUACGUUGUUCAGGGGUACGGCGGGGCCCUGUCCCGUUAUAUGAAUAGGAUAUCAUUCUGUAGAGGUCUGUAGACAUGAUA